rnacentral:rRNA from 1 species
UACGUAGGGUCCGAGCGUUGUCCGGAAUUAUUGGGCGUAAAGAGCUCGUAGGCGGUUUGUCGCGUCUGCCGUGAAAAUCCGGGGCUCAACCCCGGACUUGCGGUGGGUACGGGCAGACUAGAGUGUGGUAGGGGAGACUGGAAUUCCUGGUGUAGCGGUGAAAUGCGCAGAUAUCAGGAGGAACACCGAUGGCGAAGGCAGGUCUCUGGGCCACUACUGACGCUGAGAAGCGAAAGCGUGGGGAGCGAACAGG